CUCCACUCGCACAUGCGCAGCCCACCUGAUGACUCCCUGAAAGUCUCCGAUCUGUGGCGCAGGGACGAGCCCGACACCAAUAGUGGAGAACCCACGGUAACAUCACUGGAAGAAGAAUUAUGUGUUGGUACCGAGGGUGAAGGAGUCAGCACAGCACUCCACCUGCUGCCGAGGACAAUAGAGACGGAACUGAAGGAGCCACGCCACGCAUAACUUCUUGGAUAUUCAACACCUCAGACAAUCGGAGGAACAGCAUUCGUGGUAAGCAGUGAAGAUAUAAGUUGCUGGCUGCUAUAGCCUCAUGGAAGGGAAAGCAGAGAAACAUUGUAAUAUACAAGUUCCAUUAAUUCUGACAAAUUGCUUAU